rnacentral:rRNA from 1 species
GACGAACGCUGGCGGCGUGCCUAAUACAUGCAAGUAGAACGCUGAAGAGAGGAGCCUGCUCUUCUUGGAUGAGUUGCGAACGGGUGAGUAACGCGUAGGUAACCUGCCUUGUAGCGGGGGAUAACUAUUGGAAACGAUAGCUAAUACCGCAUAACAAUGGAUGACCCAUGUCAUUUAUUUGAAAGGGGCAAAUGCUCCACUACAAGAUGGACCUGCGUUGUAUUAGCUAGUAGGUGAGGUAACGGCUCACCUAGGCGACGAUACAUAGCCGACCUGAGAGGGUGAUCGGCCACACUGGGACUGAGACACGGCCCAGACUCCUACGGGAGGCAGCAGUAGGGAAUCUUCGGCAAUGGGGGCAACCCUGACCGAGCAACGCCGCGUGAGUGAAGAAGGUUUUCGGAUCGUAAAGCUCUGUUGUAAGUCAAGAACGAGUGUGAGAGUGGAAAGUUCACACUGUGACGGUAGCUUACCAGAAAGGGACGGCUAACUACGUG